CAAGAUAUGAUCUGAACUCGCGCAGAGAAAGAAUGAUCUUGAGAGGAGGCAGAAAGAGUUGUCUUUAUCUUUGGAGAGAGAGUCGUCGUUGGAACGUUCUAGGGCUCAGCUUGAAUUAGAUUAGCAGCGCAGAUAUGAAUAGGAAAAAGAACUGGGUAUGAUAAACAAGAAGAACUAGUUAAGAAUUUAACACAAGGCAAAGAAGAGGCGUUAUCGUUGGUGUAACAACAGAAACGUGAACUGCUUCACAAGGAUAGUGUUAUCCAUAUUUUGAAGACACAAAGAGAUGAAUCAGUUUCUAUCCUCAAGCUUCAUGGACUAACCGUGCCUUCCCAAAUAUCAGGUGAGUUUUACACCUUGAUUGUAGGUAGAUUGUAAACGCUUAGCGUUCGGUUUUUAUACGGCGUAUAUGGGGCCCUAGCUCUUCCAGCUGGGCAGAUUAAC